CAGCCGCCGCGGGAAUACGAAGGGUGCAAGCGUUACUCGGAAUUACUGGGCGUAAAGCGUGCGUAGGUGGUGGUUUAAGUCCGUUGUGAAAGCCCUGGGCUCAACCUGGGAAUUGCAGUGGAUACUGGGUCACUAGAGUGUGGUAGAGGAUAGUGGAAUUUCCGGUGUGGCAGUGAAAUGCGUAGAGAUCGGAAGGAACAUCUGUGGCGAAGGCGGCCAUCUGGGACAACACUGACGCUGAGGCACAAAAGCGUGGGGAGCAAACAGGAUUAGAUACCCCCGUAGUCCCUGUCUCUUAUAC
rnacentral:rRNA from 1 species